UACGGAGGGUGCAAGCGUUAUCCGGAUUCACUGGGUUUAAAGGGUGCGUAGGUGGGUCUGUAAGUCAGUGGUGAAAUCUCCGGGCUUAACCUGGAAACUGCCAUUGAUACUAUAGAUCUUGAAUUUUCUGGAGGUAAGCGGAAUAUGUCAUGUAGCGGUGAAAUGCUUAGAUAUGACAUAGAACACCAAUUGCGAAGGCAGCUUGCUACAGGAACAUUGACACUGAGGCACGAAAGCGUGGGGAGCAAACAGG
rnacentral:rRNA from 1 species